CACUCUUUCCCAGUCUCCUUCAAAUUACUUUAUUGCUUCCUGUCAACUAGCCGAGCAUAUCCUGUUAAUAUACAAUCCCCAACGAACAGUUUUCACAGCAUAAUCCCCCUUUGUCAGAUAACGCAGCUCACCUCCCAGUGGAUGGCCCCAUUCUGGGCAUCUUGGGAUGCAGGAUCCUGGGAGCAGACAGACCUUGGACGGCUUUUGUCUGCACGCCGCGCGCACCUUGCUCCAUGUCCUCGCAUCUCCCUUCGCGUGCUCCUCUUCAGAACAACCCAGACAUGCUGUUUCCUUUUCAUCCUCCGUCGUGAAAGAAGAUGUGGUUCCUCCUUCAGCUCCUGCCCUCUCACAAUAAUCACCUCUUAGCAGAAAAGAGCCAUUUCACAACACGCCGUUGUCUUUGAUCCUAUGUUUGCUUUCUCGUCAAUAUACACUAUCUCAGGGUCUUGCUCAUGAGUGCCCUGAACAUAAGACAUACUAUUACAUUUUUUCAUAGAGUUCAUAAGCAUUUGCAAAACUCCUGCUUUUAACACCAGCAAUGACAAAAAACAGGUCGUUUUCUCCCCAGUUUCCCAUUAAAUGUCAUUUCAGCAUUUUCAAUUUCGAGGGUGCCACCCUGUAAUUUCACAGUAUUAACCAGAGACCUGAGUUUGACUUUUCAGCUCUUCUGCCUUCCUUUGAGCAACUUUAAAACUAUUUUCCAAAAGAUUUCUGGGCUGUGGAUGCCCUGCAAGAGUUACAUCCUUCUCUUUUAUGCAUCUCUAAAAAGAUGCCUUUAUAAGAUUCUCCUCCUUUAUAUAAACUUUUCAGGGGGGGAAGGUUUGACAUAUUUGCAGCCCCGAAGGAGAUGACUUUACAACCUUUAUCUUUCCAAAUGUUCCUUUGUCAACAGCGAGCAUGCAGCCAUGAUCAGGUAAUUUCUGCAGGAUCUCAUAUAAGGUUGACUUGGCUCUGCCUGUCACUGUAAUUUGGUGUCAAAUUAGCUGUUGAGCAAAAUACCCAAAGUUUCCUACCCGAUUCCAGCUUUCUAAAUCUGUUUUAAAUGCUUCAAAAGUGCCUCUUCUCUUUAAUUUGUUCCCAUGGAUACCAUUCAGAAGUUCCAUUCAUUUUAGGCGUGCAACCCUCUUCAAAUCUUUAUCACAAUCUACCAGUUGACUUCUGCUUCCUAAAUUAACCGAAGGCUCUAAAAUCUAAGGCAACAGCAACAGAAACCAAGGUACCUUUUGCUCAUUGCUCUCUGCAGCCACACUUUUCCCUCUGCAGAGAUGAAAUCCCACGGCUCUGUGCAUCCCUGGGGUGCCGGUGCAGGAUGAUGCUCAGGUCACCCAUGCCAUCCUCUUGCCUUCCUCCCUUCUGCUUCUCCUCAUCAGCUCCACUUCUGGUCCCAGGUAGCAUCAAAACUCACAGCGUGCACGUAUCAUUUAACAGCAGAGCUCAGAAAUGCCGAAGGAGCGCUGAAGGGAGCUGCUUCCUCCGUUAGGACCCCACAACAAGCCAAACGGGUUGAGCAAGAACAGCUUCCAGUGUCACAUUUCAGCACAAGGCACCCAACUCCAGCUAUCUGCGCCGAGCUCGCUCACAGCCUUGUCUUGCUUGAGCUCUGCCAGAAGCCCCCAGUGGGGUGGGGACCCACAGUGCUCUGCUUGGAUGGGGCUGGAGCCCCCCCGAUCCCCUAAAUGUACUCUGGGAGCAGGGCUGGAAGGGAGCACCCUGCUUAAUGUGCCCUUACCAUACAGGUCAGUGGAUGGGUCAGGGCAGCCCUGGUAGCCUGGGGCAUCCUUGCUGCUCACCU
rnacentral:lncRNA from 1 species